CCUGCAAUUGUCAAUGUCGUCGGCGAAGAGCCGCCAUCCUAACUCACCCUCAUGUGUGUUGCUGCUCUCCGCUAUUGGUGAAGUGUUUUUGUUGAUUUUUCAUAGUUGGUCGUCGGUGCAGUUCGCCGAUGAAAGGAGCAGCUUGCUUGCUCGUGCGUGCGGCUCGACUGUUUGCUGGAUGUUGUGUGCCUAUGAUGAAAUUUGUUAUGUGGCUGGCAAGAGGACCACAUCGAGUUGGUCGGCAACACAUAUACUUCUAGUUAAGUCGACAACGGGUUUCAGGAGCUGAUUCGAAGAUGAUGUCGAGCCACCAAACCAGCCUCCCACAUGCCCAUAGUUGACUGGGUACCUCUGUGGAGAGCACGCCAGAUGGGAAGCUCGAAGUUCGUCAGCUGGAGUGCAUUUGCUUAGUUGGAGCUGUGGUUUUCUUGCUUUGCGCAACUUAGUAGGUCCCGCCGGAGAGGUUCGUUGUGCCGUCGGUUGCAGUUAGCUGUUGCGCGUGAUGGAGUCCAUUGACCGCACAUUUCUUGUUUCAAAAGAUUUGUUUGAUGCAGUGCGGUUCAUCAUUGGGUGUUAUUUGACUUUUAGUUUUUCACACACGAUCGAAAAUAAAUUGUGCUAUGUUUUGUUUCUCCCAAAGGGCCCCCGAUUCUGUUCGAGGGUUAAUUUGCAAAUUCCUAGGGAUAGUUAUUCACUUCAUAGGCUGGUGGAGGAGUGCAAAUUUUGUAUGUGUGUGACUGUGCAAAAUAAUCACAUAGAUAUGUAUGCUUUGAAGCUCA